CUAUGUUGGUCAGUUCCAGCUAUUCCGGAUCUUUUCCCAGCAAAACCAGCGCUGAGCUGUGGUACAGGAGCUUCCAAGAAACCCGCACGAAAUGAAAAUUAUUGUGUCUAGCGAAUGAAUGAUGGAGCCGCCGAGGAACAAUCGCAUCAAAGAAGAAACGGAACGUUUGGAACACUUGGGAGGGUCUGGAGAAAAAUUUACGAUAUUUCGAUUUACCGCCAACUUUAAUCAUGUGGUUGCUACUGAAUUUUACAACCGCUAUCCGGAAGGAACCAGUAUUAAGCUACUCGUACAUCCUUCGUCGGAUUGCUAUGGUUCUUACAAUAUUUAAAACAAGGGAAAAAUCAACGGCUGCGGGCCUCCAAUUCCAUUUACCUGUAAUAUUUCUAUUACGGUUGUCCAAGUGCCUGUGCUGUGCCCUGGAAGGAAUGUCCGAAAAAGGUCUAGGAUUAGGA